rfam:Struthio camelus australis contig44121, whole genome shotgun sequence.
CCAAAGGCUCUUUUCAGAGCCACAUACUUUCUCGUAAGAAGAGCUGU